rnacentral:rRNA from 1 species
GAUUAACGCUGGCGGCGUGCCUAACACAUGCAAGUCGAGCGAACAGACUAGGAUCUUUCUCCUCGGACGUUAGCGACGGACGUGUGAGUAACACGUGGAUAACCUACCUAUAAGACUGGGAUAACUUCGGGAAACCGCAGCUAAAACCGGAUAAUAUAUUGAACCGCAUUGUUCAAUAGUGAAAGACGGUUGUGCUGUCGCUUAUAGAUGAAUCCGCGCCGCAUUAGCUAUUGGUUAAUGUAACGGCUUACCAAGGCAACGAUGGGUAGCCGACCUGAGAGGGAGAGAGGACAAGCUGGAACUGGGACGCGGUCCAGAACCCUACGAGAGGCAGCAGUAGGGAAUCUUCACGAGUGGGAGAAAGGUUGAAGGAGCCACAAUGCGGGAAUGAUGAAGGCAGUCGGGUCGUAAAAUUCUGUAAUCAGUGAGGAACUAAUGUGCAAGUGUAUAGGAAGGUAAUGACGGUACUAAAUGAGAAAGGCCCGGCUAACUACGUG